rnacentral:rRNA from 1 species
AGCGAACGUUAGCGGCAGGCUUAACACAUGCAAGUCGAGCGAGAACGGAGACUUCGGUCUCUUAUUAAAGCGGCGCACGGGUGAGUAACACGUGGAUAAUCUGCCCUUCAGCGGGGGAAAACUAUUCGAAAGGAUAGCUAAUACCGCAUACGUCGUCUUUGACUGCGGUCGAAGACGGGAAAGCUAGGGAUCUUCGGACCUGGCACUGAAGGAGGAGUCCGCGGCGCAUCAGUUUGUUGGUGGGGUAAUGGCCUACCAAGGCAAAGACGCGUAGCUGGUCUGAGAGGAUGAUCAGCCACACUGGGACUGAGACACGGCCCAG